AUACGGAGGGUGCAAGCGUUAAUCGGAAUUACUGGGCGUAAAGCGCACGCAGGCGGUUAAUUAAGUUGGGUGUGAAAGCCCCGGGCUCAACCUGGGAAUUGCAUUCAAGACUGGUUAGCUAGAGUCUCGUAGAGGGGGGUAGAAUUCCAUGUGUAGCGGUGAAAUGCGUAGAGAUAUGGAGGAAUACCGGUGGCGAAGGCGGCCCCCUGGACGAAGACUGACGCUCAGGUGCGAAAGCGUGGGGAGCAAACAGGAUUAGAUACCCUGGUAGUCCACGCUGUAAACGAUGUCGAUUUGGAGUCUGUGACCAUGAGUCGUGGGCUCCGGAGCUAACGCGUUAAGUCGACCGCCUGGGGAGUACGGCCGCAAGGUUAAAACUCAAAUGAAUUGGCGGGG
rnacentral:rRNA from 1 species